UUCCUACGGGGGGCAGCAGUGAGGAAUAUUGGUCAAUGGGCUUACGCCUGAACCAGCCAAGUCGCGUGAGGGAAGACUGCCCUAUGGGUUGUAAACCUCUUUUGUCAGGGAGCAAUUGGCGCUACGUGUAGCGUUAUCGAGAGUACCCGAAGAAAAAGCAUCGGCUAACUCCGUGCCAGCAGCCGCGGUAAUACGGAGGAUGCGAGCGUUAUCCGGAUUUAUUGGGUUUAAAGGGUGCGCAGGCGGAGGUGCAAGUCAGCGGUCAAAUUGCGGGGCUCAACCCCGUACUGCCGUUGAAACUGCAU
rnacentral:rRNA from 1 species